AGCCCAGAGCCUGAAUCAGUGUGUGUGUUAGUGGAAGCGUCUGGAAAGGCGCGCGAUACAGGGUGACAGCCCCGUACACAAAAAUGCACAUGCUGUGAGCUCGAUGAGUAGGGCGGGACACGUGGUAUCCUGUCUGAAUAUGGGGGGACCAUCCUCCAAGGCUAAAUACUCCUGACUGACCGAUAGUGAACCAGUACCGUGAGGGAAAGGCGAAAAGAACCCCGGCGAGGGGAGUGAAAAAGAACCUGAAACCGUGUACGUACAAGCAGUGGGAGCACGCUUAGGCGUGUGACUGCGUACCUUUUGUAUAAUGGGUCAGCGACUUAUAUUCUGUAGCAAGGUUAACCGAAUAGGGGAGCCGAAGGGAAACCGAGUCUUAACUGGGCGUUAAGUUGCAGGGUAUAGACCCGAAACCCGGUGAUCUAGCCAUGGGCAGGUUGAAGGUUGGGUAACACUAACUGGAGGACCGAACCGACUAAUGUUGAAAAAUUAGCGGAUGACUUGUGGCUGGGGGUGAAAGGCCAAUCAAACCGGGAGAUAGCUGGUUCUCCCCGAAAGCUAUUUAGGUAGCGCCUCGUGAACUCAUCUCCGGGGGUAGAGCACUGUUUCGGCAAGGGGGUCAUCCCGACUUACCAACCCGAUGCAAACUGCGAAUACCGGAGAAUGUUAUCACGGGAGACACACGGCGGGUGCUAACGUCCGUCGUGAAGAGGGAAACAACCCAGACCGCCAGCUAAGGUCCCAAAGUCAUGGUUAAGUGGGAAACGAUGUGGGAAGGCCCAGACAGCCAGGAUGUUGGCUUAGAAGCAGCCAUCAUUUAAAGAAAGCGUAAUAGCUCACUGGUCGAGUCGGCCUGCGCGGAAGAUGUAACGGGGCUAAACCAUGCACCGAAGCUGCGGCAGCGAC
rnacentral:rRNA from 1 species